AUCACAUGAUGGGGUUUACCUUCAGCAGCUGUUACACACCUCAGCAGCAUGUUAUCGCACAACAACAACAACAACAACACAGCAGCAGGGGAACACAAACGAAGGCCCGCCCUCGGCUCCCCUCGGGCCCCUGACCCUAACCCUAAUCCUGACCCUCCCAGCUGAGGACCAGCAGGUCUUUAAUGUCCACGCUGAUGGUUUUAAUCAGAGCUGAUCCAGAUGGAGCCUCUUUAACCCUGAAGGUGUCUUCAUCUCCACAUCCAGCUCAACAAGAAAGUCUGGAGAGGAGACAUGGAGACAGAAGAACUUCUACAGGACGAGGAGACCACAUUAGUUCUGGUAUAUUAAAGAGAUUUCUGUGAAAUAUUCUGAUUGAAACUGAGAUCUGAUCCAAAUGGAUGCAUUCAAGGAGCUGAAAGCUGUAAACCUGCUGCUUUUCCUUCAGCUCUCAGGUUGUGGCUGUAAACGGGUCAUCUGGGAGCUCUGCAGAAAAAGGAAAGCUGCCUUCACACGCUUUUUGUUGAUAACGUGCUGAAAGUGACUCCAGGUGUGUGUCUGAACUCUCACCUGAUCCAGCAUCGUUUACACAUGACAUCUAUUGAGAGCUGCUGCAGUAAUAACCGCUGCUCAGACCCUCCAUUAAAUCACAUGUUGGUGCCGAUGCAGUUGUCAUGACAACAAACACAAAGACGAGUCAAAGACUACAGCCGGACGCACAGCCGUGGAAACGGGACGGCGACCUGCGAGCGUCACCACUGACACCCUAAUCCGGUCGGACCAUGAAGGUGAACGGCUUCAUGUUUGUCAGGGUGGAGACGAGCAGCGGGGGGGAGGCUGCAGCCGUUCCAACAGCCGCCUGCCCCUCCCUCUGCUGCUAAACGCCGUGAAGCUGCUCCAUUAUGUGUUUAUGAGAACUGAAUUUUACAAGAUUACAGCGAGGCUUUGAAGAACGACGGAGGGGGAGUUUAAUCAGCACUCUGACGGAGGGAGGAGACCCUUUAUGAACAGCUUCAUCCAGAACAACAACAAGAAACACACUCCACCAGCUCCACCCAGCACACACACACCUCACCAUGUGCAGCUUCAUCAGCUGCUCAAGUUUACAGCGCUUCAGAAACAUCACGUCAAUCUAAACUGUAUCCCUCACAGUAAUCAGAUUACUUCUAACAGAGUAUUUUCUCUGAUCAGUAAUCAGAAACUAAUCUUUUGUAAAGUCCAUAUUUAAAGUCCAGACUCCAAAGUGAUCCAGCUGUGAUUCCAGUCAGUCUACCUGAUGAACACGGUUCUAAAAGGAGCUGAGAACAGCAGAACGUUCUCAGUCCUGGACCUAUGGACUGGGUCUAUCUAUGUCUGCAUCAUGGAUCCACAUGGAGAAGAACUGAACAGAGGAAAAGAAACAUCUGACUGAGAGACUCGACAAAGAUGGAAAAAGAUCCAGGAAGAUUAGUGAGCAACUGAAAACCAGAGAAGCAGAGAGUCAGCAGGAACCAGGAGGUCUAGAAGGAGUCAUAGUUCCACUAAUCAGGAGGUCUAGAAGGAGUCAUAGUUCCACUAAUCAGGAGGUCUAGAAGGAGUCAUAGUUCCACUGAUCAGGAGGUCUAGAAGGAGUCAUAGUUCCACUAAUCAGGAGGUCUAGAAGGAGUCAUAGUUCCACUGAUCAGGAGGUCUAGAAGGAGUCAUAGUUCCACUGAUCAGGAGGUCUAGAAGGAGUCAUAGUUCCACUAAUCAGGAGGUCUAGAAGGAGUCAUAGUUCCACUAAUCAGGAGGUCUAGAAGGAGUCAUAGUUCCACUAAUCAGGAGGUCUAGAAGGAGUCAUAGUUCCACUGAUCAGGAGGUCUAGAAGGAGUCAUAGUUCCACUGAUCAGGAGGUCUAGAAGGAGUCAUAGUUCCACUAAUCAGGAGGUCUAGAAGGAGUCAUAGUUCCACUAAUCAGAAAGUCUAGAAGGAGUCAUAGUUCCACUAAUCAGAGCUCCUAAAAUGACUCCACAGACAGUGAACUACUUUCUCCAUCAGCUGUAAAAACAGACAUCAGCUGCUUCAGACUUGGUUCAGGGGUUCUUCAUGGAAACCAGAGUUAGUGUGAAGCUCAGACAGUGUGAAGGAACCUUCAGAACAUCAACCUCUAUGGACGGAGGACCAGAACUAAACCUGGUUGCUGCUCAGAACUAAACUUCCAGAUGAACAACAUGAGAAGAAGCCUGAUGGAUGCUGGAGAACAUUCUUUGGUCAGAUGAAGAUCAAUGAGUUGGGCUCAGAUGGAGUCCAGAUGUUUAGUCAGAACCUGACCAGGACUACCACAGUGGAUGCAUGGUCCUGACAGUGAAGCACGGAGGUGAGAGUGUGAUAAUCUGGGGCUGCAUGAGGUCAGAAGGUGUUGAAGACAUUUCUAGAUGCAGCAUGAAGGACUGAGGAGGAACCAGAAUACGGGCUGACCAGAUGAACAAGAGGAACAUUCCAGCAGGAGAACAUCUAAGAACAUCAUCAGACCAGAACUUCUCCACAUCAGAAACCUGGUAUUAAGCGUCCAGUUUAAU